UGGGAACGUACCCUUCGGUUCGGAAUAACUCAGGGAAACUUGAGCUAAUACCGGAUAAGCCCUUACGGGGAAAGAUUCAUCGCCUUUGGAUCGGCCCGCGUCUGAUUAGCUAGUUGGCGGGGUAAUGGCCCACCAAGGCGACGACGGGUAGCUGGUCUGGGAGGACGACCAGCCACACUGGAACUGAGAUACGGUCCAGACUCCUACGGGAGGCAG
rnacentral:rRNA from 1 species